ACCUCAGACUUCGCUUCAGCAUCCUUGACUGCCUGUUGCUCGUAGGCCAGUUGGAUUUUCAGCCACUACAGUUCAGCCUUCUCCUGUCGAAGGGCCAUGGACAGUUCUUCCAUGGUCCCCCUCAAGGAGCGGAGCUUGCCGGAGCCUUGCACCGAAAUGGCUUGGGUUCUCUCGGACAACUGCCUCUGAAGGCGGGCAACCUCAUCGGUCGCCGUCUUGAGCCUCCUUCGAUAGUAGUCUACUUGCCCGCACCAGCCA
rnacentral:lncRNA from 1 species